UCAAAUCCUCUCACUCACACUGCAACAACCUCUAACCGUUGUGUGUCAGAAGUUAAGAACUUGAAACUACACGCGAAAAAGGUGGACACAUUUCGCUGAAAUGUCGUUUAUAUAAAAUAAACGUUUUCGCUAGUGCCAACAGUGGUGUCAUUAUGUUUUGCUUUUGUACCAGUUAAAUUGUUGCGUUCGAAAAUAGUUAUGUAGUUAGUUGUGUGUGGCUUUUGUGUACCUGUGUCGUUUCUACCUACCUACCUGUCUCUUUAAUUAUGAAGACUGAUGGGGUAUUGUUUUUGUUGUUUGUUGCUGGACUGGCUUUUCAUCAGGUGACUUUUGGCGCAGAACUGGUCAUUCACAUCCCUGGUAAUUUAGGUCAAGAUGGCGUAGUAUACAGAUUAGAUUACUUCCCUCCUAUUGGUCAUCCGGCUCCAAACACCACUAUUGCUUCUAAGGACAUCAGAGAUGUGAUCAAAUUUUCUCAGGCCCUUCCAGGAACAAAAUAUGAUUUUCGACUUUACUACUCCAACGCUACACACAACAUGCUCACCUGGACUGCCAAUUUUACAACAGUACCUGAUCCACCUUCAGGCCUCUCAGUCGACGUCCGAAGUGGAAAAACCGCCAUCAUAUCCUGGGAAUCUCCAGCCCAGGGUAGUUUUACUAGUUUUAAACUUAAGAUCAAUCCUCUUGUGCACAUUUCCGAGCCAAAACAACAACCAAUCAUCAUCGACAAUGUGGAUAACAACAUGUAUGUUCUGAAAGAUCUGGUUCCUGGAGCUACGUACCAAGUUCAGGCGUUUACCGUUUUCGAAAACAAAGAAAGCGUUGCUUAUACUUCUAGAAACUUCACCACAAAACCCAACACACCUGGGAAAUUCAUAGUAUGGUUCAGAAACGAAACAACCUUACUGGUUCUAUGGCAGCCCCCUUACCCAGCAGCUAUAUAUUCCCACUACAAGGUCUCCAUCGAUCCUCCAGAUGCAAACGACAGCGUCUUGUACGUAGAAAAGGAGGGAGAACCUCCUGGUCCUGCUCAGGCAGCUUUUAAAGGAUUGAUUCCAGGUAGAGCUUAUAAUAUUUCCGUUCAGACGAUGUCAGAAGACGAAAUUUCCACUCCGACCACUGCUCAAUAUCGAACAGUACCCUUGAAGCCGCAGAGGAUAUAUUUUGAGAAGGAUAAAAUUACCUCGCAUUCGUUUAUUGUCCAUUGGGAUCCUCCAAGCGGCAAAAGUGAAUUUGACAAGUAUCAAGUCUCCUUGGGCACUGUACGAAAACCUCCUCCUGUUCCAAGAUCAAAAGAAGAUCCUACAUUUUGGGAAUUCAAGGAUAAUUUAGAACCGGGAAAGACCUAUUCCGUUGUUGUGAAAACCGUUUCUGGAAAAGUCACUUCUUGGCCUGUCAGUGCUGAUGUUACAUUAAAGCCUCUUCCGGUAAGAUACGUCACUUCAACUACCGAUACAAAAACUGGGACAGUAAGUAUAUUUUGGUCCCCUGAUCCAGCUAGUACACAAGAAGGGUAUUUAGUUUCUUAUCAUGAAGCAGAAAGUACUACAGGAGACAGUAACACUAUAAAUACCAACCAGACUGAUAUUAGUUUAGAGGCUCUAUUGCCUGGAAGAAAUUAUUCCAUUACGGUGCAAACCGUCUCCAAAGACCAACAGUCAACCGAAGAAUCACUUUAUGUUGCCACCAAACCAAGUGCACCAGUGAUUGAAGACCUGAGACCUAUGAUAGAUGGUCUAAAUAUUAGUUGGAAGUCUGACGUAAACUCAAAACAAGACAAGUACGAAAUUCAGUGGAUCAGAAACGACACACACGAAAGGAACAUCAAAACAAGUUACGAAUCCAAAAUUAUUUUGAGCCAUCUCUAUCCUGGCGCUGGAUACUUGGUGAAAGUGUUUGCUUUAUCUCACGGAUUAAAAAGUGAACCACAUGAAUAUUUUCAACCUGUUUUUCCGAGACCACCUAGAAACAUGUCUAUUGAAAAAACUACAAGCAAUUCAGUAAUAGUGCGAUGGGUAGCGCCAAGUGAUUCGUUAAUAUCUGAGUAUGCGAUUAGGUAUAGAACCGAUUCAGAUAAUCAGUGGGUCAGAUUGCCAGCUGUCCAAAACACAGAAGCCGAAGUAACAGAUAUGUCUCCUGGGGAAAGAUAUACAAUUCAAGUAAACACGGUCAGUUAUGGUCUGGAGAGCAACGAACCGCAACAGUUAAACCAUACUGUCAAACCAAAUCCUGUGUCAAAUAUCAACCCUAUAGUAGAUUCUAACAACGUAACAUUAGAAUGGCCAAGACCAGAAGGUAGGGUAGAUAUAUACAUAGUAAAAUGGAAGGAAACUGGUAGUGGCUCUCAUCUAAAUAAGCAAAACAUUAGUCAAAACCAGAAUGGCACCGGACCUGUAAGAAUGCUUAUUGGAGAUCUGAUGCCUGGUGUAGAAUACGCUUUCGAAAUUCAAGCUAUAUCAAACGAUUUACAGAGCGAAAUAACGGUUGUUAAGGCCAGGACAAUGCCUUUAAUUCAAUCAGAGGUUGUGGUAGUGAAUAAGCAGCAGUCAACUGAUACAAUUAGUCUCAGAUAUACCCCAACUCCUAUUAGUAUAUCAAGAUUCGAUACUUAUCGAUUUUCUUUAUCGGAUCCGAGUAUACAAGACAAAGAAAAAGCUGCCAAUGAUUCCGAUAGAUUUGUUACAUUUACUGGGCUGGUUCCUGGAAGAUUGUAUAAUAUUACAGUGUGGACCUUAUCUAAAGAUGUCGCAAGCCAACCCUUACAAAGGCAAGAUAGACUAUAUCCUGAACCCAUCACAAGCAUAAACUCUACAUACAUAUCCGAUACCGAAGUCACUUUAGCAUGGUCAUUACCGCACGGCGAAUUUAAUGCUUUCGAAGUUCAGUAUCUCACAACAGAGAACAUUUUUAUCCAAAACUUAACGACUCAUAACACCAUAAUUAUUAAUGAUUUGAAACCCCAUCGAAACUAUACGUUUACUGUCAUCGUGCGAAGUGGAACAGAAUCGAGCAUUUUAAGAAGUUCUUUGCCCGUGUCAGCUAUAUUUACAACCAAGGAGUCUGUACCUGGGAAAGUUGAGAAGUUUGAACCUGUAGACAUUCAACCAGGAGAGAUACAUUUCGAAUGGGCGUUGCCGAUGACCGAACAGAAUGGUGUUAUUAGGAAAUUUACUAUUACUUAUGGUUUGGAGGGAGAAACUCACACGACUUCUCAAGAUUUUGGACCCAACGAGUUUAGAGGAACUAUAAAACCGUUAGAACCAGGAAAAACUUAUGUUUUUAAAAUACAAGCUGAAACAAGAGUAGGUUUUGGCCCAGAAACCGAAUGGACGGAAAAAAUGCCUAUAACCGCACCUCCCGUGCCGCAGCCCCAAGUAGUGCCAACUGAAGUGUGCAAGAGUCCCACGUCCAUCCAGAUACGAUUCAGAAAGAAUUAUUUCAGUGAUAUUCAUGGACCGGUUACAGCAUAUGCUAUUAUAGUAGCUGAAGACGAUUCUAAAAAUGCUUCAGGUCUAGAAAUGCCAAGUUGGAGAGACGUUCAAGCAUAUUCAGUGUGGCCUCCGUACCAAGUCAUGGAACCAUACUAUCCCUUCGUGAAUAGUUCUCUAGUAGAAGAUUUUACGAUUGGUAGUGAAUCAUGUGAUAUACGCCAACUGGGGUACUGCAAUGGGCCUCUUAAAUCGGGAGCUACUUAUAAAGUGAAAAUUAGAGCAUUUACAGCACCGGACAAGUUUAGUGAUACAAGCUAUAGCUUUCCUAUUCAAACAGAUCAAGAUAAUACUCCCAUAGUUCUUGGAGUUAUCAUUCCCAUAAUUUUCAUCGCUCUACUUUUCAUCACUGUCAUUUUUAUUAGAAAAAGAAGAGCAGCUGGUAAGAGGAAGGCUUCGGAAGCUAGAGUUAAUGAUACUUCUAUGUCCUUGCCGGAUUCCGUUAUAGAAACUAGUAGACCUGUGCGGAUUGAAAAUUUCUCUAAUCACUAUAGGAUUAUGUCCGCUGAUUCAGAUUUUAGGUUUAGUGAAGAAUUUGAGGAACUAAAACUCGUUGGUCGUGAUCAACCUUGUACAUUUGCGGAUUUACCGUGCAAUAGACCUAAGAAUAGAUUUACGAACAUUUUACCAUAUGAUCAUUCCCGAUUUAAACUUCAACCCGUUGAUGAUGAAGAAGGCUCUGAUUAUAUCAAUGCAAAUUAUGUACCGGGUUAUAACUCUCCGAGAGAGUUCAUAGUCACACAAGGUCCUCUACAUUCCACUCGAGAUGAUUUCUGGAGAAUGGUAUGGGAAUCAAACUCUAGGUCAAUUAUAAUGUUAACUCGUUGUGUCGAGAAGGGUAGAGAAAAAUGCGAUCAUUAUUGGCCCUAUGACACGAUGCCAGUGUAUUAUGGCGACAUCUCUGUUCAAAUACUAAAUGAAUCUCGAUAUGCUGACUGGAACGUAUCAGAGUUUAUGGUUUGUAGGGGCGAAACUCAAAGAAUUGUUAGGCAUUUCCACUUUAGUACUUGGCCUGACUUUGGUGUUCCGAACCCACCACAUACAUUGGUUAGGUUCGUUAGAGCAUUUAGAGAAAAGGUACCCCCCGAUCAACGGCCAAUUGUAGUGCACUGUAGUGCUGGAGUUGGUCGAUCAGGGACAUUUAUAUGUCUAGAUAGAAUCCUGCAACAAAUUCUAAAGUGCGACUACGUCGACAUAUUUGGAAUAGUUUUCGCCAUGAGAAAAGAAAGAGUGUGGAUGGUCCAGACUGAACAACAAUAUAUUUGUAUUCACCAGUGCCUUUUGGCAGUGUUAGAGGGUAUAGACUUGACGACAUCUCCUAGAGAGAUUCACGAAAACCAAGGAUUCGAAGGCAAAGGUGUUGGUGCUACAGUUGACUCGGAUUUUGCACCAGGGGAAAAACUGAGGUAGAACAAUUAACGAGGCGCACAACUGUAAUGCUUAUUACCUCUUUUACUUUUGAUGAUGAAGGUAUAGCCGAGUCAGGAAUGUAGAAAAACUUCUAUCAACCAUGAACAAAAUAAUCACUAGGUAGCUUUGAUGAAGCAUGUUUUAAACGAUGACAUGAAGGUUAUAUUUGCUAGUUAAUAACUUAUUUUUCAGUAUAAAAAAGUAAAAUUGGUAAAGAUAAUUUUGUACUAUUUGUUAUAUAUUUUGUACAAUAGUAGAAGUACAAAUAGGAAACAUUAUUGCUUCCAAUUAUUUUGGAACCUAAUUAUUGGUUAUGUAUGUUGCUUUCUUUAUCAAUUUUAGCAAUUAUUGUUACCUGUUUUGUUGUUCAAAUUAAAAUGUAUAGUCUACAGAAUUUUUAAAAUAUAUAUUGACGUUUACAAAAAGUGAAUUGGUCAAAAUUUUUUGAUCCAUAUAUCUCUAGGCCCAUUUUAGAUAUUGUUACAAAUAUGUAAUUAGAAAUACCCAGCCAGCGAGAAAACCCUAAUUAGAGGUUAUUAUAUAGUAAAAAUAUUACAUUGUUCAAAACAUAGACAUAAUACCUAGACUGCGCAUUGCUAUCUAAUACUGUUUCCCCAGUGUGACAGAGAAAAGUGUUUGUAAACAGGAUAUGCAUCUCUUUCUAAUCAACGGGGUUUCUCCAAUGUCAUUGUGUUUAUCCACCACGUGACUUUCCCACUGCCGCCGAUUAGAAAGAGAUGCGUAUACCCUAUUUACAAAAACUUUUCUCUGUCGCACUGUGCUAAAAGGUUUAGAUUGCAGCACGCAGCCUAGGUAUUAUGUCUAUGGUUCAAAAUUGUAUUAGGAAACUUUUAAAUAAGUUAGGUUAUGUACAUAAUAAUGUGUGCAUAACCACAACACUUUUAUUGACACUCUAGUUAGGUUUGUGUCUACAAUUUAGUUUCCCUGAAACCAACCUUUCUUUUAUUGCAUUUUAAUUUGGGUUUUUAGAAAUAAUAUUGAGCAGUUUUAAAAAUAUAUUUAUUUUUUAAUAAAAUAAAACUGUAUGUGAGAAUACGGUGCAUGAUGCAUAUCAUACUAUAGCAUAUACAUACAUUCAGCAUUUCUGUAAUUCGCUUUAUGUAGAAAUGUGUAUUACGCCCUAAAAGUCAUGAUUGCCCUGUUCUUUCUGUCUGAAAGUCUGCUCCAGUCAUAUUAUGAGAUAUUUUGCCCAAUAUUGCAGCUUAUUUAUAGUGGUAGAUUGAAGAUCUUCAAACUUCCCACUACCGAGUGUACAUAAUACAAAGGCAUCGUCUACCUUAAAUUGCAAAAAAUAGAGACCACUGUGGCUCUCUGAACUACGUACUAAUCGCUGAAAUAUUUGAGAAACUGUAUCUUCCAGAAACACCAAUUUCUAUAGUCCUUAAUAAGCCGACAUCUAUAAAAAUGUGUUUUUUUUUUUGUUUAAAAUUUCUUUCUCAAAGAAUUUAUUUCUGUACUUACUUUACUUUAUCAUGUCCGGACAUGUAAUUCAUAGAAUUUUGGACCAGUAUCGGGCUACGUCAGUUCCAUCUUUGUUGGCUAGCCACAAAUCUUCCGAGGAUACACCGAUGAGGACAGUUUCUCCAUGUAAUAUGUUCCAUGUUCUGUAUUUCUCCACAGUCACAGUUCACAUCAUCUUGGUUUAUUUUCUCCCAUUUUACCAUGUUUGAUUUUACUGGAGCGACCCCCGUUCUUAUCCUAUUCACAGUUUUCCACGUUUUAAUGUCUAGGGAUUGGCAGGUCCAUUGAACCUGGGGAAGAGGAUAAUUCUCAGGUUUCAUCCUGCUCCGUUUCAAGAAAGCUUUUCCUGGAUUUCAGUCGCUUUUGUGGCGUUCGAGCUUUGUAUAGGAUAUGCCGCUCGUCCGCGAUUUGUUUAAUUUUCUCUAUGGGCUCUGCAACGCCUCUGCGUGCUGAGGGUUCUGAAAAACUCGCUGCUUUAUAUAUAUUUGAGAGUGGCGUUGGUUUCAUGCAUCCCGUUACUAUCCUGCAUGUCUCAUUUAUCGCAGUUUUAACUUGUUUGGUGUAGGCAGAUCUGCCCCGUUGAAAAACACAAUGCUUGUCCCUAAUAACACCAAACAUUCCAUGUAUGUUCCUAUAAUGUACACACAGGACAUUGAAAACAUUCCUGAAAUGUCCUCAAAAGCACAAGAACGUCCCCUAAAUGUCCCAUAAGUCAUGCGUCAGCAUUUUAAACAUUCCUUGAAUGUCUUGUUGGAACAUUCCAUGAAUGUCUACGAAUGUUCUUUGGACAUUCACAGUAUAUUUUUAGACAUUCUCUUGAUAUAGUCGCUGAUGUGACAAUACCUCCGAUUUGUUUUUUUCAUGAGUUUUGUAAGAGAGACUAAAAACAUUUUUUACAGUCACCUCCUGUUUUCAUAUGAUAUUUUUUGACAUGUUUUGUACUAAAUUCAACUAUCUAUUUACUACAGAACAUGUCAAAAUUUACAUGUGAAAACAGGAGAUGACCCUAAAAAUGGUUUUUCGUCUCCUACAAAAUUCAUGAAAAAGCAGAUAGAAGGUAUUGUCACAUCACCGACAAUAUACCAUAAGUAUAUGUGGCCAUACCAAAUAAUACAUCCUUGAUAAAUAUAAACAUUGUAUUGAAUGUACUUGGUCUAGUACACCCCCAUAGUGGGCAUCCAUGUCCAUACAGGUAUUAAUAUUUGUUUAUAAAGUAAUAACUUAUUAUGCAUCGACAAUUCUUCCAACUAGCCAAUACACUUUUUACAUAUAUCUUUCUUUUGCCUUUCAUAGCCACAAGGCUACGUUUCCUUCUUAGUUUUUUUAUAGAACACUUUCAGCUGAUUCUAAAAAAAAUUAAAAUGAAUGGUAAUUUUUCUAUUCUUUACAAUUAAAAAUCAAAAGAAUAAAGAAAAUUGAAAACGGAUUUUAUUAUACUUACAUAAUUGUUUAAACAAAAGAGACCCAGUCAGAGCAAAAGUAACAUACAGAAAAGCAAAAAAAAAGCCACUAAUUCUAAUUCUAAUUUCCAUUUUACAACCAAUCAUAAAUUUUUAGGUUAUCAUGAAAUGUGAAAAUGUGAUGACCACGCGCCAUGCGACCCUACUUACAUAGAACACGAGCGGCAAAUUUGAAAAUGAACGCAAAUUGAAUAGUAAAUGGCCUCACUUAAAAUAUAGGACAUUGGUAGUAUGUUCAUAGAAAGUCUUGUGGUAACAUUCCACCGAUAAUUUAAUCAGAUGUUCACCGAAUGUUCCUUGAAUGUCCAGGACAUUCAAACAUUAAUAGAACUUUGAUAGUACAUUCCUGGAAUGUUUUGUGUUGUUAGGGGUGCCGUUGUUUUACUUCCCGUUAUCUUCCUGGGUAUGCUGUUCCUAGUUGUUACUUUCUUUCUCGUUUUAAUGGAAUGUUCUCUAUAAAUGAGGGACCGGUCCAGAGUUAUUCUAAGAUAUAUAGGUUGGUCUGUGUGUUCACUGUGAAUACUUGGUUGGUGCGAAGGUGAAAGGAGCAGACUUGAUUUUAGAUUGAUUUGGUCGCAGGGAAUUCUGCGAGUAGUACGCUGUAAGCUGUAAAGUUUAUUUUCUACGAGCCCUAACAAAUAUAUGUUGGAACAAGCAGUUAUUUUGCGAAGAAAAUACCAAUUUACCUAAAUUCUUUUAUUUCAUUUUUUUAAAUUGUAGAUAUGAAAUUAACAACUUUUUUGGUGUGUAGAAUUAUGCUUACACUUUAAUUAUAUAUUUUAUAUUGAUUUUUGAUUAAUUGUUAGAUAAUCAAAAAAUGCUGACAACUAAAUAUUGGAACAAGAGGUUUUUAACAAAUUAAAUAGACAAGGCGUAGAUAACGUUGCCCUUAGCUUGAAUAACAGCCUGAACUCUAUUAGGCAUUGUAUCAACUAGGCCUUCACAGAAUUCAGGGGUGAAACUAUCUCAUAUUUCUUGCAAUUUAACACGUAGUUAUGGCAAAGUACGCUGAGGGUUAUUUCUUGGGCGUCGUUUCAUUUUGUGCCAAAGUGUCUCCAUUGGAUUAAGAUCCGGGCUGCUAGAAGGAUGUGACAAAACUUUAAUGUCAUGUUCUCCCAUCCUUUUUGUGGUAGAUUUAGCCAUAUGGCAAGAGGUGUCCUGUUGAAAGAUAAAAUCUCCGGAUGGAUAUAACGUUGCCGCACUUGGUAAAAACGAAUGUCCAAGGAUAUCUUGAUAUUUGACUGAGUUUACUAUGCCUUCAAUAAAAUGUAAAGUUCCCAACCACUUGGUCGACACACGCCACACCAUGAUGUCCUGUGGAAACUUUACAUUCUUUUUGAGACAAUCUUUAUGGAAUGUUUCUGUUUUUCCCGAAUCACACGCUUUUGGUAAUCUCUCACACAGACAUCAAAUUUGCUUUAGUCGCUAUAAUAGAUAAUAUUUUAUCCCAAUUAAGUUUGGUCAACGAAAUUUUUGAUUUAGCCCAAAUAUAACGAUUCCUUUUUUGAGUUUCCGUCAACAAUGGUUUUUCUUUGGCCUAUUCGAAUAAAUGAAAAAUAGAAAAUUUAUAUCGCAAAGAAGAACCUAUCAGACAUACCUUAUAAAAACUGAGACCGCCUUUGUGGAUAUAUUUGCGACAGCAUUAUCUGGAAACAUUCAUCCCAGUUUCUCUAUUUCAUCUAGGAGUUAUCGCGUAGAGUACAUAAUACUGUCAGGUUCACCAUAUUUCUUAAUUAUUAUAUUAAACACAGUAGUUGUUGCUACAGUCAAUUCACUGGAAAUUUCACGCAUUGUUUUCCCUUUGUGACAUUGAUGAAUAAUACUUUCUCCCACUUUUGCAUCAGUAGGUUUUCCACUUGCCAUUAUUGUAUUUUAUUCCGUGACCAGACACCUCGUAAAGCGACAGUUCGUAACCGGACAGUUGGUAACGGACAAUUCGUAACAGCGACAGUUCGUAACGGCGACACUUGGUAACGGCGACAGUUCGUAACUAUAUAAAUUCGUAACGGAUAAUUCGUAACAUCCAAAUUGAAUUAUUAUGUUUAUUUUUGUUAACAUGGAAACUAGCUGAUAUUAGUUAUAAUUGAAAUUAUGUUUAUCAAUUUAACGAAUCAGUACGGAUAAACAUGUUUAACACAUUUUACAUUUCGUGUUUAGAAUAUUUAGAAGUCUUUAAACACAAACAAAUUUAUUUAAAUACAUAGAAACUUUUAACAUUAUUUAUAAAAAUUUUAUCACUCUUAUUGUUCCUUAAAUUUGCAUAUACCUAGACAAAGGAACAAUGAAGUACCUAAUUCCUGAAAUCUUUAAUCUGAGAACCGUCUUUAGACAUUCCAAACUUUUUAAAUAAACAUUUUGUAAAGGGGAAAGAUUAUAAUUACCUGUUAUUAUAAUAAACCUUGUGAUUAGUAAUAGCUUUGGGGCAUUCAAUCAACGGUUAUAGUUGAUAAGAGGGAUGGCUUGUAAUACUUUAAUACUUGGUUUACCUACUUUUAUUAUAUUCUGAAACACGAAAUAUGAAAUGCCUUAAAAAUGUUUAUCCUGAUACUGAUUCGUUAAAUUGAUAAACAUAAUUUCAUUUAUAACUGUAAUAACAGUUAAUUUCCACGUUAACAACAGUAAACAGAAUAAUUCAAUUUGGAGGUUACGAAUUGUCCGUUACGAAUUUGUAUAGUUACGAACUGUCGCCGUUACGAAGUGUCGCCGUUACGAACUGUCGCUGUUACGAAUUGUCAUGGAACCAUUUUAUUCACAAUAAAACUGACUCACUCAAUAUUUAGUUGUCAGCAGUUCGAUUAUUAAACAAUUAAUUGAACAGUAAUCAACAUAAAAUAUAUAAUUAAACCGUAAAAACAAUUCCAUACAUCAUUAAAAAUGUUAAUUUCAUAUUUACAUUUAAAACAAAUUUAGGUAAAUUGUCAUUUUAUUCGAAAAAUAACUGCUUGUUCCAACAUAUAGGUAGUUGUUAGAGCUCGUGUAGACCAUAUUAAGAUUCAUUUCUGAUUGAGGCUCUAAAAAAGUUCUCAAAAUGAGAGAAACUAGUCAAUUAAACACAUGAUGCAGCAAGUGUUUUAAAUUAACUUGUCUCUUGAAUGCUAGAACAACAUGUGCCCAGUUCCAUCAGCUUUUCUAUUAAAUAUUUCUCCAAAUGGCUACCCAAUUGGCCCUGAACGGUAAUAAGCUGAAAAGAAUCAUUACGAGAUUGUUUUAUUUUUAAUAACUAUGUAAAUUGAUACAUUUUAUUUUAGACAACGGUAUUUUAUAUUGUGGACCAGUUACAAUAAUAAAAAUGUAUUGAAUUUGUCAAAUAACUUGUAUUUUUAAAUUAGUAAGAUACUGUGAUAAUUUCUAUACGAAUAGAAUUAAGUAAAAACAACUUGUUAUAUUUUUAUGCUUCAAUUUUAGACUAACCUAUUAUUUGUAUUGUGCUCUGUACUUAAUUUUACACUAAAACUAAAAUAUUUUAUCUACAAA
rnacentral:misc_RNA from 1 species